AUGUUUUGUGGGUUCACGGUGAAGGGUGAGACUGAAUUCUACCAAGUUAAAUUUGAGAAGUUUCCGAUGCUUUUUCACGCCUAUGGGAAGAUGGGACAUUGGCAUGAGGAGUGUGGUACGAGAGAACACGACGAAUCAAAAUUUGGAUGGGGUCCCUUUAUUCUUGCUCCGAGAAGGGGGCGAGGCGGUGGCCGUGGUGCUAGUGGUGGUCGUUCAUCGGGUGCUGGUCGUGGAGAUAUGAACAGGAGAGGGGUGGGGGUGGACUAUCAAGCAGAGGCAUGGAUGGAAGAUUUGGUGAAAGAGCUUGCCAAUGGAAUUAUGAACUUGCAAAGAACCCAUCUGAUAUGGAGGGUAUGGACCUGGAUGGCUCUGGAAAGGAUGGGGACAAGAAUGAUGGUACAUCAAUGGUGCCAAGAUAUAUACAGAAAAUCAAACUUUGUUGGGCAAAAGGCAAGCUGA
rnacentral:rRNA from 1 species